UCUAUGCUGAGAGUCGAUAGCAAGCUGUACUUGUACAGUGAAGUGGCUGAUACCAUGCUUCCAGGAAAAGUCUCUAAGCUUCAGUUACACAGGAAUCGUACCCGAAACCGACACAGGUGGUCAGGUCGAGUAGACCAAAGCGCUUGAGAGAACUCUGCUGAAGGAACUAGGCAAAAUGGUACCGUAACUUCGGGAGAAGGUACGCUGCUGACGGUGAUGGGACUUGCUCCCUGAGCGGUUGGCAGCCGCAGAAACCAGGCCGCUGCAACUGUUUAUUAAAAACAUAGCACUCUGCAAACACGAAAGUGGACGUAUAGGGUGUGAUGCCUGCCCGGUGCUGGAAGGUUAAUUGAUGGGGUUAGCGUAAGCGAAGCUCUUGAUCGAAGCCCCAGUAAACGGCGGCCGUAACUAUAACGGUCCUAAGGUAGCGAAAUUCCUUGUCGGGUAAGUUCCGACCUGCACGAAUGGCAUAAUGAUGGCGGCGCUGUCUCCAGCAGAGGCUCAGUGAAAUCGAAAUCGCUGUGAAGAUGCAGUGUACCCGCGGCUAGACGGAAAGACCCCGUGAACCUUUACUGCAGCUUGACAUUGAACUUUGACCUUACUUGUGUAGGAUAGGUGGGAGGCUUUGAAGUUGGAACGCUAGUUCCAAUGGAGCCGUCCUUGAAAUACCACCCUGGUAAUGUUGAGGUUCUAACUCUGCCCCGUAAUCCGGGGCGAGGACCAUGUCUGGUGGGUAGUUUGACUGGGGCGGUCUCCUCCUAAAGAGUAACGGAGGAGUACGAAGGUGCGCUCAGCGUGGUCGGAAAUCACGCGUAGAGUAUAAAGGCAAAAGCGCGCUUAACUGCGAGACCCACAAGUCGAGCAGGUACGAAAGUAGGUCUUAGUGAUCCGGUGGUUCUGUAUGGAAGGGCCAUCGCUCAACGGAUAAAAGGUACUCUGGGGAUAACAGGCUGAUACCGCCCAAGAGUUCAUAUCGACGGCGGUGUUUGGCACCUCGAUGUCGGCUCAUCUCAUCCUGGGGCUGAAGCAGGUCCCAAGGGUAUGGCUGUUCGCCAUUUAAAGAGGUACGCGAGCUGGGUUUAGAACGUCGUGAGACAGUUCGGUCCCUAUCUACCGUGGGCGCUGGAAAUUUGAGAGGAUCUGCUCCUAGUACGAGAGGACCAGAGUGGACGAACCUCUGGUGUACCGGUUGUCACGCCAGUGGCAUCGCCGGGUAGCUAUGUUCGGAAGGGAUAACCGCUGAAAGCAUCUAAGCGGGAAGCCUACCUCAAGAUAAGAUUUCCCUAAGACUAUAUGUCUUCUAAAGAGCCGUUCGAGACUAGGACGUUGAUAGGUUGGGUGUGGAAGCACGGUGACGUGUGAAGCUGACCAAUACUAAUUGCUCGUGAGGCUUGACU
rnacentral:rRNA from 1 species